GAAAUGCGAUAAGUAAUGUGAAUUGCAGAAUUCAGUGAAUCAUCGAAUCUUUGAACGCACAUUGCGCCCGGUGGCAUUCCGCCGGGCACGCCUGUCCGAGCGUCAUUGCAACAAUCAAGCCCCGCUUGGUGUUGGGGGCCGUCGCCGCGAGGCGACCCCCCCGGAACCCGUUGGCGGUGGCUGUCGCCCCGAUCGUCGCGCAUGUUACGACGAGGCGGCACGCCGCCCGCCCCAACCCGCAAUCGCGCACAGUUUGACCUCGGAUCAGGCGGGGAUACCCGCUGAACUUAA
rnacentral:misc_RNA from 1 species